UGCGGGCCGAGACGCAGCCGUCUCUACCCAGCUCCAGCAGCAGCCGCCGCCGCCCUCCCCGGGGCCGCCGCUACUUCCUGCUUCUCUACGGUUCGGCCUCCCUCCUCCCUCCUCCCUGCGCUCCCUCCGCGCCCCUGGCCUGAGCUGCCCGCUUCCAUACUCGCCAUUGGUCAGUUCCCCCGUCGUUCAGGUAUGCGCCCCGCCCCACCUCGCGCUGGGUUGGUCUUAAGUACUGUCGCUCGGAACUAGCCCCGUGGAUUCCGCUCAUCCUCAUUGGGCGAGGAGCCUAGGCCCCCUGAAGAAGCCUCUCCCCAUUGGCCGCUCCGAAGUCCACAUGCCCCGUCUGCGCCUCUCAAGAGCGAUUGGCCGCCGCUACUGUCGCUCUUCGAAAGAAGCCAGCCUGAUUCCCCCUUCUCGGGCCGCAGGGUAACUCUCCCAGGUGUGACUCCGCCCCCUCCGCCCUAUUGGCUGCCCGAGGCUGCAGGCUGCAGUUCACUUAGGCAAAUUUAAAGAACUCUGAGCUUCGGUGCGGUGGGUGCUUGGAGGAGAACCGCGCCGACUGCGAGGGAACAUAGAACUCUGGAUCUGGCCGCGCUGUUUUCUCGGAGACCGAGCCCCACGUCAGCGUGGCCGCACAGAUGUCGCAGCGUGGGCCGACGCUCCAGGCAUGACGUCAUCUGCUGACCACUGCCCACCGCCUCUGACGUGUGGCCGGGCGUCACCUGCGGCUCCUCCCUCUGUGGGGAGCUCGGACUGGUACAGGAUUUGGGACAUGGACGGGCCUGGGGCCCGGGGCUGGGCCUGGCUUGCGGACCGGAAGUGGGGCAGAGGUGACUCCGGGAGAGCCGGCGGGGCUGGGCAGCCGGGCCCGACCGCAGGUGUCAGGUAUUUCAGUAAGACAGUGGUGCACCCCUGUAAACUCAGCACUGGGAAUGCAAAGGCAGGAGGAUCGAAGGUUGGAGGCCACAGACCGGAAGGCUGAAGACGGAAGCCGCCGAGGAGAGCAGGAAAAUAGAAGCACCCUGGGAACCUGUUCCCCCAAUUCCCGGGGGCGAAACAGCAGCCAGGCUUGAGAGAGAAGCGAACUUCCCCAUCUCAUUUCGGGCUUGUUUCCCGCGGCCGUCACCCACCCGCGAGCGACUGCAGGUGGCGCACAGAUGGCAGGGAGUGAGACGAAGCGCACAGCGAGAGCCAAGGCAGCCCGAGCUGGGGAGGAGCAGGGCACCCGGGGGUGACGGGGUGCAGUCACG
rnacentral:lncRNA from 1 species